ensembl:lncRNA
UGGAUUUUAGUAAUUUACAUCAAGAUUUCUUCAAUACUUGUAAAAGUACCAAGCUAAUGUAAGGUACUAAUAACAGGAAAUAGGAGAACUCUUGUCACCUUAAUUUUAUAAGAAUCUAAAACUCUUAUACUAUACAACUGUUAUUUAAAAUAUAUUUGAAUAAGACAUUUGCAGUUUUGAAACAGGAUGUGAAACAAUUUAUUUGGAAUCACCUUUCUUCUCUACUAACCUGUUUCUCUCUCUCUCUCUCUCUCUCUCUCUCUCUCUCUCAUUGAAUUGCUUGGAAUUUUGCACAUUAUGAGUCAUAGGAUCAGAAUAUGGUUUUCCUGAGGCCCAUGAGAAAAAUCCAUAAAAGAAGACUGUGCUAAUCUCACAGAAACAUUAUUAUUAUAUUUCUAAGUUAUAAUAGAAAUAUACCACCUCUCCCAGCUCAUAGGAGGUUUCCAAACUGGCAUAGAACCGCUCCCAGCGAAGAGGAGGAUGCUUUCAGUCUGCCAUACCACAGCCCCCAGCAUGGAGGCUUCCAGGCUGCCACACUGCCUCUCCCAAAGUGGAGGAGGCUUCCUUGCUGCUGCACCAUUGCUUCCAGCUCAUAGUAGGCUUCUGAACUGGCACAGAAUCACACUAUUCAAAGAGAAUGGUUUUGGUAAGCCAUACAACAGCCCCCAGCAUGGAGGAGUCUUCUGGGCUGCUGCCCUGCAGCUCCAAUAGUGGAGGAGUUUUCCGGGCCACCGUACCAGUGCUCCCACCUCAUAGGAGGCUUCCAAACUGGCAUAGAACUGCUCCCAGUGAAGAGAAGGAUGCUUUUGACCUGCUGUAACACAGCUCACAGCAUGGAGGAGGCUUCCAGGGGGUGGCCCAACUGCUCACCUAGUGGAGGAGGAUCCUGGGCCAUAGUACCGCCACUCCCAGCUAAUAGGAGGCUUCCGGACCUGCAUAGCACCGCUCUCAGGGAAGAGGGGGAUGUUUUUCAUCUGCAGUACCAAAGCUCACAGCAUGGAAGAGCCUUCUGGGGUGUUACCCCACUGCUCAUAUAGCGGAGGAGGCUUCCAGGCCACCGUACUGCCACUCCCAGCUCAUAGGAGGUUACCGAACUGGCACAGAACUGCUCACAGUUAAGAGGAGGACACUUUUGUUCCACAAUACCAGAGCUCCUAUCAUGGAGGAGUCCUCCAGGCUGACACCUCGCCACUCCCACAGUGUAACAGGCUUCCGGGCCACAAUAUCUCUGCUCCCAGUUUAUGGAAGGCUUCCAAACUGGCAUAGAUCCACUCCCACCAAAGAGGAGGAUCCUUUCAGUCCACUGUUACACAGCUCCCAGCACGGAGGAGGCUUCUCGGCUCCCGAUUCACCAGUCCCAUGAUGGAGGAAGUUUCUGGGGUGCCACCAUGCCACUCAAAUAGUGGAGGAGGCUUCCAGGCCAGUGUACCACUGCUCCCAGGGCAUAGGGGUUUCCAAAGCAGCACAGAACUGCUCAUAGUGAAGAGGAGGAUGCUUUCAGUUGACAGUAUCACAGCUCCUGGCAUGGAAGAGGUAUCUGGGCUGCCACCCCUCCACUCCUAUCAUGGAGGAGGUUUCUGGGCUGCUGUACCACUGCUCCCAGCUCAUAGGAGGCUUCUGAACUGGCACAGAGCUGCUCACAGGGAAGAGGAGGAUGCUUUCAGUCUGCAGUACCACAACUCCCAGCACAGAAGUGGCUUCUGGGAUGUCUUCCAUCUGCUCCCAUAGUGGAGGAUGUUUCCGGGCCAUUGUACCGCUGCUUGCAGCUCAUAGAAGGCUUCUGAACUGGCAUAGAAGUGCUCUCAGUGAAGAGGAGUAUGCUUUCAGUCUGGCAUCCCACAGCUCCCGGCUCAGAGGAGGUUUCUGGGCUCCCACCGAUCCAUUCUGAUAGUGGAGGAGGUUUCUGGCCUGCCGUAAUGUCCCUCCCAGCACAUAGGAGGCUUCUAGAUGGGCAUAGCACCACUCUGAGCAAAUAGUAGGAUGCUUUCUGUCCUCCGUACCACAGCUCCAAGUGCAGAGGAGGCUUCCAGACUCCUGCCCUGCACCUUACAUAGUGGAGGAGUCUUCCAAACCACCCUACCACUGCUCCCAGCUCAUAGGAGGCUUCUGGAUGGGCAUAGAACCACACCCAGCAAAGAGGAGGAUGACUUUGGUCUGCCAUACCACACCUCAUGGUGAGUAGGAGGCUUCUGGGCUGCCAACCAGCCACUCCCAUAGUGUAGGAAGUCUGCAGGCCACCGUUCCAUCACUCCCAGCUCACAGAACUCUUCUAGACGGGCAUAGCACCACUCCAACUGAAUAGGAGGACACCUUCUGUCCUCUAUUCCACAGCUCCCACAGCAGUGGAGGCCUUCGGGCUUACACCCUGGCUCUCUCAUAGUGUAGGACACUUCCAGGUGGCAGAACUGCAGCUCCCAGUUUAUAGGAGACUUCCAAAGUGGCACAGAUCCACUCCCACUUAAAAGGAUGCUUUCAGUCUGCCAUAAAACACCUCCCAACAUGAAAGAGGCUUCCAUGUUGCUGCCCCACAGCUCCCCUGGUGGAGGAGGCUUCUGGGCUGCCACUCCACUGCUGAAAUAGUGGAGGAGGAUUCUGAACCACUGUACUACCACUCCCAACUCAUAGGGGUCUUUCAAACUGUCACAGAACUGCUCACAGCAAAGAGGAGGACACCUUCAGUCCACCAUACCACAGCUCCCAGCAGGAAGAGAUUUCCGGCCUGCCGCCCCCACCCCUCCCACCAUGGAGGAGGCUUGCAGACUGCUGUAAUGCUGCUCCCAGCUCAUAGGAGUCUUCUGAACUGGCAUACAACUGCUCCCAGUGAAGAGGAGGAUGCUUUCUGUGUGUUAUACCAUAGCUCCCAACAGGGAAGAUGCUUCCAGGCUGCCACCCUGCCAUUCCCAUGGUGGAGGAGCCUUCCAGGCUGCCACUUCACCACUCAAAUAGUGGAGCAGGCUUCCAGGCCACUGUACCACCACUCCCAGUUCAUAAGGGUCUUCUGAACUGGCACAGAACUGCUCCCAGCGAAGAGGAGGAUGCUUUCUGUCUGCUGUACCAUAGCUUCCAGCAUGGAGGAGUCUUCUGUGCUGCCACCCCACUGCACCCACAGUGGAGCAGGGAUGUGGGAUGCCGUGCCACCUCUCCCAGUUCAUAGGAGUCAUUUGAAGUGGCUCAGAACUGUUCACAGUGAAAAGGAAAAUGCUUUCAGCCCACCAUACUACAUCUCUUGCCACUGAGGAGGCUUCUGGGCUGGCACGCCACCACUCCCAUAGUGGAGGAGGCUUCCAGUGUGUCAUGCCACCACUCUAAGCUCAUAGGAGGUUUACAAACUGGCAUAGAACCACUUCCAGUGAAGAAGCAGACACUGUUGUUUUGCCAUACCACAGAUCCCAGAACAGAGGAGUCUUCUGGGUUGCUGCCCCACUGUGCCUAUUGUGGAGGAGACAUCCAUGAUGCCAUACUGCUGCUGCCAGCUUGUAAAAGUCUUCCAAACUGGCUCAGAACCACUCACAGAAGAAAGGAUUAUGCUCUUGGUCCACUUUACCACAUCUCCCAGCAUGGAGGAGGCUUCUGAGUUGCCACCCUGUCGCUGCCAUAGUAGAGCAGUCUUCUGGGCCAUCAUAUGGGUGCUUCAAGCUCAUAGGACACUUCUGAACUGGAUCAGAAUUGCUCACAGUGAAAAGGAGGACACUUUUGGUCCACAGUACCACAGCUCUGAGCAAGGAGGAGGCUUCUGGGCUUUGGCUCCACUGCUCCUAUAAUGGAGGAGGCUUCUGGGCAUCUGAAGGUCCACUCCAAGUUCAUAGGAGACUUCCAAACUGGCACAUAAUGGCUCCCAGUGAAGAUGAGAAUCCUUUUGGUCCACUGUACCACAGUUCCCAGCGUGGAGGCUUCAAAGCUGCCACCCUGCCUCUCCCAUAGAGGAUGAGGCUUCCAGGCUACUGAACCACUGAUCCCAACUCAUAAGAGUCUUGUGAACUGGCAUAGAACCACUUCCAACAAAGAUGAAAAUGCUUUUGGUCGGCUGUUCCACAGCUCCCAGGGCAGAAGUGGCUUCAGGGCUGCUGCCCCAAUGCUCCCAUAAUGGAGCAGGCUUCUGGGACACCAUACCACUUCUCCAAGUUUGUAAGAGUCUUCUGAAUUGGAUCACAAAAGCUCACAUUGAAAAGGAGGACACUUUUGGUUCAGCGUACCAUAGCUCCAAGUCCAGAGGAGGCUUCUGGGCUGCCUCCAUGCUGCUCCCAUAAUAGAGGAGGCAUCCCAGACACCCUGCUGCUGAUCCCAGCAGGUAGAUCCCCGAACUCGCUCAGAACCACUCACAGCAGAAAGCAGGAUGCUUUUGGUUCACCUUACCACUUCUCCUGUAAAGGAGGAGGCUUCAGGGCUGCCACCCCACAGCUUCCAUUGUGGAUGAGGCUUCCAGACCAGCAUACCACCUCUCUCAACUCAUAAGAGGCUUCUGAACUGGUACAGAACUGCUCCCAGUGAAGAUGACAAUGCUUUCAGUCCACCAUACCACAGCUCCCAUUGUGGAAGAGGUUUCCAGGCUGCUGUACUGGGGAUUCCAACUCUAGAGCAUCUUCCAAACUGUCUCAGAACCACUCCCAGCAAAAAGAAGGAUGCUUUUGGUCCAGUGCACCACAUCUCCCACUGCAAAGGAGGCUUCUAGGCUGCCACCCCACUGCUCCUGCAGUGGAUGAUACUUCCAGGCUGCCGUACUGCUGCUCCCAACUUGUAGGAGGCUUUGGAACUGGCACAAAACCACUCACAGUGAAGAGGAGGUCAUUUUCUGUCCACUGUGCCACAGCUCCCAGGGUGAAGGAAGAGUCUGGGCUGACACCCCGCUGCUCCCAUCGUAGAGGAGGCAUCAAGACACUAUAACACUGCUCCCAGCUCAUAAGCAUCUUCCCAGCUAGCUAAGAAAUGUUCACAGUGAAAAGGAGGAUGCUUUUGUCCCAAAGUACCCGUUUUCCUGGGAGAUGAGGCUUCCAGACUGCUGCUCCACCUGUUCCAUAGUGGAGGAGGCUUCCAGGCCUCCAUGCCAUUGCUCCUAGAUUGUAGAAGUCUUCCAAACUGGCUCAGAACAGCACACAGAGAAAAGCAGGAUGCUUUCUGCCCACCUUAACACAUCUCUCGCAAUGGAGGAGGCUUCUGGGCUGCUGCCCCACUGCUCCAAUUGUGGAUGAGGCUUCUGGGCUGCCAUACCACCUCUCCCAACUCAUAGGAGGCUUCCAAACUGACACACAACUGAUCACAGCAAAGAUGAGGAUGCUUUCAAUCCACCAUACCACAGCUCCCCAUAUGGAGGAGGCUUCCAGGCUGCCACCCAGCCACUCCCAUAGUAGAGGAGGCAUCUGGGAUACCAUACCACCACUCCCAGUGCAUAAGAGUCUUCCAAACUGGCUCAGGACCACUCAUAGUGAAAAGGAUUGUGCUCUUGGUCCACCUUACCACAUUACCCAGUGUGGAGAAGGCUUCUGGGCUGCCAUAAAGCAGCUCCCAGCUCGUAGGAGUCUUCCAGUCCAGCUCAGAACCACUCAUAGCAAAAAGAAGGAUCCUUUCAGUCCACUGUACCACAUCUCCUACCUCAAAGGAGCCUUCUGGGCUGCCACCCCACUUCUCUUAUAGUGGAUGAGGAUUCCAGGCCACUGUGCCACCACUCCCAACUCAUAGAGGGCUUUUGAACAGGCAUAGAGCCACUUCCAGGGAGAGGAGGUUAUUUUCUGUCCACUGUACCACAGCUUCCAGAGUGAAGGAAGAGUCCAGGCUGACACCCCACCAAUCCCAUAGUAGAGGAGGCUUCUGGGACACCAUAUCCCCUCUUCCAGCUCAUAAGAGUAUCCAGAACUGGCUUAUAAUGGCUCACAGUGAAUGGAAGGAUGCUUUUUAUCCACUGUACCACAUCUCCCUGCAUGUAGGAGUCUUUCAGAAUGCCACCCCACUGCUUCCAUAGUGGAGGAGGCUUCUGUGACUCUGUACCGCAACUCCAUGCUCAUAGGAGGCUUCCAAACUGGCAUAGAAGCACUCCCAGCAAAGAUGAGAACACCUUCGGUCUGCUGUACCACAGCCCCCAAUGCAGAGGAGGCUUCUGGACUGCCUCCCCACCACUCCCAUAGUGGAGGUGGCUUCUGGGCUGAGUUACUGCCUCCCUCAGCUCAUCGAAUGCUUCUAAAUUGGCAUAGAACUGAUCCCAAAGAACAGAAGGAUGCUUUUGAUCCACCAUGCCAGAGCUCCUGGCAUGGAGGAGGCUUCCGGGCUGCCACCCCACUGCUCCCAUAUUGGAGGCAGCAUCCAGCAUACCGUAACCCCACUCCAACCUUGUGGGAGUCUUCUGAACUGGCUCAGAAACAGUGAAAAGCAGAAUAUUCUUGGUCCACCUUACCAUAUCUCCCAUAAUGGAGUAGGAUUCUGGGCUGUUGCCCUGCCACUCACAUAGUGGAUGAGGCUUCCGGGCUGCUGGACUGCUACUCUCAACUCAUAGGAGGCUUCUGAACUGGAACACAACCACUUCCAGCAAAGAGGAGGAUGUUUUCUGUCCACCAUUCCACAGGUCCUAGAGCAGAGGAGGACUCCAGGCUGACACCCUGUCACUCCCAUAGUGGACAAGGCAUCCAGGAUGCCAAACCACUUCUCCCAGCUCACAGGAGGCUUCUGAACUGGCCAAGAACUGCUCUCAGCAAAGAUGGGAAUGCUUUUGGUCCACCAUACCACAGCUCCCAGCGUUGAGGAGGUAUCAGGGAUGCUGACCUGGUGCUCCUAUAGUGGAAGAGGAUUCUGGGCUGUCAUACCGGCAAUCCCAACUCAUGGGAAUCUUCCAAACUGGCUUAGAACCACUCACAUCAAAAGGAAGGAUGCUUUUGGUCCAACAUACCAUAUCUCCCACUGCAAAGGAGGCUUUCAGGCUGCUGCUCUUCCUCUCCCAUAGUGGAUGAGGCUUCCAGGCUGCUAUAAUGCCACUCCCAACUCAUAGGAGACUUCUGAACAGGCACAGAACCACUUCCAGCAAAGAGGAUGUUUCCAGUCCACUGUACCACAGCUCAGAGUGCAAAGGGGGAUUCCAGGAUGACACCCUACCACUCCUAUAGAGGAAGAGGCAUCCAGGAUGCUGCACCGCCACUCCCAGCUCAUAAGAGUCUCCUGAACUGGAUCAGAACUGCUCACAGUGCAAAAGAGGAUGCUUUUGGUUCACCGUACCACAUCUGUGCAGAGGAGGCUCCUGGACUGCCACCCAGCCACUCCCAUAGUGCAGGAGACUUCCAGGCCACCAUACCUCCACUCCAAGCUCAUAGGAGGCUUCCAAACUGGCAUAGAACUGCUCCUAGUAAAGAUAGGUAUGCUUUUGGUACACCAAACCACAGCUCCCAGUGCUAAGAAGGCUUCUGAGCUGCUGCCCCACUGAUUCCAUAGUGGAGAAGGCUUCUGGGCCACCAUAUUUCCACUUCCAGCAAAUAGGAGUCUUCUGAACUACAACAGAACCACUCACAGAGAAGAGGAGGACACAAUUGGUCCACAGUACCACAGCUCCCACUGCAGAGGAGGCUUCUGGCCUGUGGCCCCACCAUUCCUAUAGUGGAGGAGGCCUCCAGGCUGCAAUACCACCACUCCCAGCUCAUUGGAGGCUUCUGAACUAGCAUAGAACCACUCCCAGUGAAUAGGAGGAUGCUUUUCAUCCACAGUACAGCAUCUCCUACUGCAGAGGAGGUGUCCAUGCUGCAGUACCACUGCUCCCAGCUCAAAGGUUUCCUAACUGGCAUGGAACUGCUCCCAGAGAAUUGGAGGAUGCUUUCAGUCCCUCAUACCACAGCUCCCAGCAUGGAGGAGGUUUCUGGUCUGCUGUCCCAAUCCUCCCAUAGUGGAUGAGUGUUCUGGGCCACAGUACCACUGCUCUCAACUCAUAGGAGCCUUACAACCUGGAUCAGAACCACUCACAGGGAAGAGCAGAAUGCUUUUGGUCUACAGUACCACAUCACUCACCACAUAAGUGGCUUCCAGGCUGCCACCCCGCUGCUGCUAUAGUGGAGGAGGCUUCUGGCUGAAGUAGUGCUGCUCCCAACACAUAGGUGUCUUCUUUACUGGCACAGAACAACUUUCAGUGAAGAGGAGGAUGCUUUCAGUCCACCGUACAAAAUCUUCCACCAUAGAGGAAGCUUCUGGGCAGAUGCCCCGCCACUUCCAGAGUGGAGGAGGCAUAGGGAAUGCCAUACUGCCACUCCCAGCUCAUAGGGGUCUCCAGAACUGACUCAGAAAGACUCACAGCAAAAUGGAGUAUGCUCUUAUUACACCUUACCACAUCCCCCAGUGCAAAGGAGGCUUCUGAGCUGCUGCCUCACCUCUCCCAUAGUGGAGGAGACAUCUGGGCCACCAUACCGCUGCUCUGAGCUCAUAGGAGCCUUCCAAACUGGGUCAGAAUAGCUCACAGUGAGAUAAGGAUGCUUUCAGUCCACCAUACCACAUUUCCCACACAAAAAAAGAAGCUUGCAGCCUGAUGCCCCACCUCUCCCAUAGUGGAGGAGGCUUCUAGGACUCUGUACCAGGACUCCAAGCUCAUAGGAGGCUUCCAAAUUAUCAUAGAAGCACUCCCAGUGAAGAUGAAAACACUUUUGGUCCACCGUACCACAGCUCCCAGCAUGGAGGAGGCUUCUGGACUGCUGUCUCACCACUUCCAUACUGGAGGUGGCUUCUGGGCUGAGUUACCAGCACUCUCAGCUCAUCAGAUGCUUCUAAACUGGCAUAGAACUGCUCGCAAUGAAGAGGAGGAUGCUUUUGAUCCACUGUACCACAGCUCCCAGCAAGGAAGAGGCUUCCAGGCUGCCACUCACCACUCCCAUAUUGGAGGUGGCAUCUGGGAUGCCGUACCACUGGUCCAAGCUCAUAGGAGUCUUCCAAACUGGCUCAGAACCACACACAGCAAAAAGCAGGACACUCUCAGUCCACCUUACCACAUCUCCUGUAACAGAGGAGGCUUCUGGGCUGCCGCCCCACUGCUUCCAUAGUGGAGAAGGCUUCUGGGCUGCUGUACUGCAGUUCCCAACUCAUGGGAGCCUUCUGAACUGCACAGAAUGACUUACAGUGAAGAGGAGGACACUUUCAGUCCACCAUACCAGAGCUCCCAGCACUGAGGAGGCUUCCGGGCCCCAUGGUUUCCAUAGUAGAGGAGGCAUCUAGGCCAUUGUACUGCCACUCCCAGCUCAUAGGAGUCUUCCUAACUGGCUUAGAACACUCACAGCAAAGAGGAGUAUGCUCUUGGUCCACCUUACUACAUCACCCAGCCUGGUGGAGGCUCCUGAACUGCCACACCACCACUCCCAUAGCGGAGGAGGCACCUGAGAUGCCAUACCGUCACUCCCAGCUCAUAAAAGUCUUCCAAACUGGCUCAGAACCACUCAUAGUGAAAAGGAUUGUACUCUUGGUCCACCCUACCACAUCACCCAGUGUGGAGGAGGCUUCCGGGCUGCCGUAAAGCAGUUCCCAGCUUGUAGGAGUCUUCCAAUCUGGCUCAGAACCCCUUACAGUGAAAAGAAGGAUGAUUUCAGUCCACUGUACCACAUCAAAGGAGGCUUCCGGGCUGCCACCCCGCUUCUCUCAUAGUGGAUGAGGAUUCCAGGCCACUGUGCCACCACUCCCAACUCAUAGGAGGCUUCUGAACAGGCACAGAACCACUUCCAGUGAAGAGGAAGUUAUUUUCUGUCCAGUGUACCACAGCUCCCAGCAUGAAAGAAGAUUCCAGGCUGCUACCCCACCUUUCCCAUAGUGGAUGAGGCUUCCAGGCCACUGUACCACCACUCCCAGUUCAUAGGAGGCUUCUGAACUGCCCAAGAACUGCUCCCAGCAAAGAUGAGAAUGCAUUCGGUCCACCGUACCACAGCUCCCAAUGUGGAGGAGGUAUCCAGGAUGCUGACCUGGUGUUCCUAUAGUGGAAGAGGAUUCCAGGCCACCGUACCAGCGAUCCCAACUCAUGAGAAUCUUCCGAACUGUCUUAGCACCACUUACAGUGAAAGGAAGGAUGCUUUCAGUUCAAUGUACCACAUCUCCCACUGCAAAGGAGACUUCCUGGCUGCCACCCUUCCUCUCCCAUAGUGAAUGAUGCUUCCUGGCCUCCAUAAUGCCUCUCCCAACACAAAGGAGGCUUUUGAACUGGCACAGAACCAUUUCCAGUGAAGAGGAGGAUGUUUUCUGUCCACCUUACUGCAGCGUGCAGUGAGGAGGAGGAUUCUGGGCUGACACUCUGAUGCUCCCAGAGUGGAAGGGGCUUCUGGGCUGCAGAACUGCCACUCCAAGCUCAUAGGAGGCUUCUUAACUGGUAUAGAACCACUCCCAGUGAAGGCAAAAACACUUUUGGUCUACUGUAACACAGCUCCCAGUGUGGGAGGAGGCUUCCGGGCUGCCACCUCACUGUUCCCAUAGUUGAGGAGGCUUCUGGGACACUGUACAACUGCUCCCAGCUCAUAGGAGUCUUCUGAACUGGCUCAGAGCUGCUCCCAGUGAAAAAGUGGACACUUUUGGUCCUCUGGAAAAUAACUCCAAGCAUGGAGGGGGCUUCAUGGCUGCCUCCCCACCACUCCCAUAGUGGAGGAUGCCUCCAGGCCUCCAUCCUGCCAUUCCAAGCUCAUACAAGGCUUCCAAACUGGCCUAGAACCACCCCCAGUGAAGAUGAGAAUGCUUUCAUUCCACCAUACCACAGCUCCCAGCAUGGAGGAGGAUUCCAGGCUGCCAACCUGCCUCUGCCAUAGUGGAGGAGUCAUGUGGCCCUCUGUACUGCCCCUCUCAGCUCAAAGAAAUCUUCCAAACUGGCUCACAACCACUCACAGUGAAGGGGAGGAUGCUUUUGGUCCUCUGUACCACAACUCCCAGUGUGGAGGAGGCUUCUGGGCUGCCACACUGCUGCUCCCACAGUGGAGGAGGCUUUCUGGCCUCCAUCCUGGCCCCUCCAUGCUCAUAAUAGGCUUCCUAACUGGCAUAGAACCACUCCCAGUGAAGAGUAGAACACUGUGUCUGCCAUACCACAGUUCCCAGAGUGGAAGAGACUUCUGGGCUGCCGCCCUGCUGCUCACAUAGUGGAGUAGGCAUCCGGGAUACUGUACUGCCACUCCCAGCUUGUAGGAGGCUUCCAAAUUAGCACAGAAUGGCUCACAGCAAAGAGCAGGAUGCUUUCAGUCUACAGUACCACAGCUCCCACCAUGGAGUAGGCUUCCAGUCUGCCAUCUAGGGCUCACAGUACAUACAAGGCUUCCUAACAGGCAUAGAACUGCUCCCAGAGAAGAGGAGGAUGCAUUCAGUCC